rnacentral:rRNA from 1 species
GACGAACGCUGGCGGCGUGCUUAACACAUGCAAGUCGAACGGAAAGGCCCUGCUUGCAGGGUGCUCGAGUGGCGAACGGGUGAGUAACACGUGGGUGAUCUGCCCCUUACUUUGGGAUAAGCCUGGGAAACUGGGUCUAAUACUGGAUAGGACCAUGCUGUAGGUGGUGUGGUGGAAAGAUUAGUUUCGGUAAGGGAUGAGCUCGCGGCCUAUCAGCUUGUUGGUGGGGUAAUGGCCUACCAAGGCGUCGACGGGUAGCCGGCCUGAGAGGGUGGACGGCGACAUUGGGACUGAGAUGCGGCCCAGACUCCUACGGGAGGCAGCAGUGGGGAAGAUUGCACAAUGGGCGCAAGCCUGAUGCAGCGACGCCGCGUGGGGGAUGACGGCCUUCGGGUUGUAAACUCCUUUCAGCCAUGACGAAGCCCUUGUGGUGACGGUAGUGGUAGAAGAAGCACCGGCUAACUACGUG